rnacentral:rRNA from 1 species
CCAGCAGCUGCGGUAAUUCCAGCUCCAAUAGCGUAUAUUAAAGUUGUUGCGGUUAAAAAGCUCGUAGUUGAAUUUCUGCCGAGGACGACCUACCCACCUUAGGGUGCGUGUCAGCGUUGACCGAGGCAUCCUCCUAGAUACGAUCGAGCUUAACCGUUCGAUUCGUGCUGGGACUUUUACUUUGAGGAAAUUAGAGUGUUUCAAGCAGGCUUUCGCCUUGAAUAUUUUAGCAUGGAAUAAUAAUUUAGGACUUCGGUUCUAUUUUGUUGGUUUCUAGAACUGAAGUAAUGAUUAAUAGGGACAGUCGGGGGCAUUCGUACUCAACAGUCAGAGGUGAAAUUCUUGGAUUUGUUGGAGACGAACUACUGCGAAAGCAUUUGCCAAGGAUGUUUUCAUUGAUCAAGAACGAAAGU